GACGAACGCUGGCGGCGUGCUUAACACAUGCAAGUCGAACGGAAAGACCCUGCUUUUGUGGGGUGCUCGAGUGGCGAACGGGUGAGUAACACGUGAGUAACCUGCCCUUGACUUUGGGAUAACUUCAGGAAACUGGGGCUAAUACCGGAUAGGAGCUCCUGCUGCAUGGUGGGGGUUGGAAAGUUUCGGCGGUUGGGGAUGGACUCGCGGCUUAUCAGCUUGUUGGUGUGGUAGUGGCUUACCAAGGCUUUGACGGGUAGCCGGCCUGAGAGGGUGACCGGCCACAUGGGGACUGAGAUACGGCCCAGAAGGCUACGGGAGGCAGCAGGGGGGAAUAUUGCACAAUGGGCGGAAGCCUGAUGCAGAAACGCCGCGUGCGGGAUGACGGCCUUCGGGUUGUAAACCGCUUUCGCAUGUGACGAAGCGUGAGUGACGGUAAUGGGUAAAGAAGCACCGGCUAACUACGUG
rnacentral:rRNA from 1 species